rnacentral:rRNA from 1 species
UCUCAAGCGUUGUUCGGAUUCAUUGGGCGUAAAGGGUGCGUAGGCGGCGCGGUAAGUCGGGUGUGAAAUCUCGGGGCUUAACUCCGAAACUGCAUUCGAUACUGCCGUGCUUGAGGACUGGAGAGGAGACUGGAAUUUACGGUGUAGCGGUGAAAUGCGUAGAUAUCGUAAGGAAGACCAGUGGCGAAGGCGGGUCUCUGGGCCGAUACUGACGCUGAGGAGCGAAAGCGUGGGGAGCGAACAGG